rnacentral:rRNA from 1 species
UAUGCAACCUACCUUUUACAGGGGAAUAGCCCGGAGAAAUCCGGAUUAAUGCCCCAUAGUAUUUAGAAUUGGCAUCGAUUUUAAAUUAAAGAUUUAUCGGUAAAAGAUGGGCAUGCGUCCUAUUAGUUAGAUGGCGUGGUAACGGCACCCCAUGACUACGAUAGGUAGGGGCCCUGAGAGGGGGAUCCCCCACACUGGUACUGAGACACGGACCAGACUCCUACGGGAGGCAGCAGUGAGGAAUAUUGGACAAUGGUCGGAAGACUGAUCCAGCCAUGCCGCGUGUAGGAAGACAGCCCUAUGGGUUUUAAACUACUUUUAUACGGGAAGAAUAAGGACUACGUGUAGUCUGAUGACGGUACCGUAAGAAUAAGCACCGGCUAACUCCGUGCCAGCAGCCGCGGUAAUACGGAGGGUGCAAGCGUUAUCCGGAAUCAUUGGGUUUAAAGGGUCCGUAGGCGGGCUGAUAAGUCAGGGGUGAAAGUUUGCAGCUUAACUGUAAAAUUGCCUUUGAUACUGUUAGUCUUGAAUUAUUGUGAAGUGGUUAGAAUGUGUAGUGUAGCGGUGAAAUGCAUAGAUAUUACACAGAAUACCAAUUGCGAAGGCAGAUCACUAACAAUA